rnacentral:rRNA from 1 species
AGUGAACGCUGGCGGUAGGCCUAACACAUGCAAGUCGAACGGCAGCACAGUAAGAGCUUGCUCUUACGGGUGGCGAGUGGCGGACGGGUGAGGAUUACAUCGGAAUCUACUUUUUCGUGGGGGAUAACGUAGGGAAACUUACGCUAAUACCGCAUACGACCUACGGGUGAAAGCAGCGGAUCUUCGGACCUCGCGCGAUUGAAUGAGCCGAUGUCGGAUUAGCUAGUUGGCGGGGUAAAGGCCCACCAAGGCGACGAUCCGUAGCUGGUCUGAGAGGAUGAUCAGCCACACUGGAACUGAGACACGGUCCAGACUCCUACGGGAGGCAGCAGUGGGGAAUAUUGGACAAUGGGCGCAAGCCUGAUCCAGCCAUACCGCGUGGGUGAAGAAGGCCUUCGGGUUGUAAAGCCCUUUUGUUGGGAAAGAAAAGCAGCAGGUUAAUACCCCGCUGUUCUGACGGUACCCAAAGAAUAAGCACCGGCUAACUUCGUG